rnacentral:rRNA from 1 species
GAGUUUGAUCCUGGCUCAGGACGUACGCUGGCGGCGUGCCUAACACGUGCAAGUCGAGCGAGUGGAGUUCUUCGGAACAAAGCUAGCGGCGGACGGGUGAGUAACACGUGGGCAACCUGCCUCAUAGAGGGGAAUAGCCUCCCGAAAGGGAGAUUAAUACCGCAUAAGAUUGUAGCUUCGCAUGAAGUAGCAAUUAAAGGAGCAAUCCGCUAUGAGAUGGGCCCGCGGCGCAUUAGCUAGUUGGUGAGGUAACGGCUCACCAAGGCGACGAUGCGUAGCCGACCUGAGAGGGUGAUCGGCCACAUUGGGACUGAGACACGGCCCAGACUCCUACGGGAGGCAGCAGUGGGGAAUAUUGCACAAUGGGGGAAACCCUGAUGCAGCAACGCCGCGUGAGUGAUGACGGCCUUCGGGUUGUAAAGCUCUGUCUUCAGGGACGAUAAUGACGGUACCUGAGGAGGAAGCCACGGCUAACUACGUGCCAGCAGCCGCGGUAAUACGUAGGUGGCGAGCGUUGUCCGGAUUUACUGGGCGUAAAGGGAGCGUAGGCGGACUUUUAAGUGAGAUGUGAAAUACCCGGGCUCAACUUGGGUGCUGCAUUUCACACUGGAAGUCUAGAGUGCAGGAGAGGAGAAUGGAAUUCCUAGUGUAGCGGUGAAAUGCGUAGAGAUUAGGAAG